AUGAACGCUAGCUACAGGCUUAACACAUGCAAGUCGAGGGGCAGCAUUUUAGUUUGCUUGCAAACUAAAGAUGGCGACCGGCGCACGGGUGAGUAACACGUAUCCAACCUGCCGAUAACUCGGGGAUAGCCUUUCGAAAGAAAGAUUAAUAUCCGAUAGUAUAUUAAAACCGCAUGGUUUUACUAUUAAAGAAUUUCGGUUAUCGAUGGGGAUGCGUUCCAUUAGUUUGUUGGCGGGGUAACGGCCCACCAAGACUACGAUGGAUAGGGGUUCUGAGAGGAAGGUCCCCCACAUUGGAACUGAGACACGGUCCAAACUCCUACGGGAGGCAGCAGUGAGGAAUAUUGGUCAAUGGACGAGAGUCUGAACCAGCCAAGUAGCGUGAAGGAUGACUGCCCUAUGGGUUGUAAACUUCUUUUAUAUGGGAAUAAAGUAUUCCACGUGUGGAAUUUUGUAUGUACCAUAUGAAUAAGGAUCGGCUAACUCCGUGCCAGCAGCCGCGGUAAUACGGAGGAUCCGAGCGUUAUCCGGAUUUAUUGGGUUUAAAGGGAGCGUAGGUGGAUUGUUAAGUCAGUUGUGAAAGUUUGCGGCUCAACCGUAAAAUUGCAGUUGAAACUGGCAGUCUUGAGUACAGUAGAGGUGGGCGGAAUUCGUGGUGUAGCGGUGAAAUGCUUAGAUAUCACGAAGAACUCCGAUUGCGAAGGCAGCUCACUAGACUGCAACUGACACUGAUGCUCGAAAGUGUGGGUAUCAAACAGGAUUAGAUACCCUGGUAGUCCACACAGUAAACGAUGAAUACUCGCUGUUUGCGAUAUACAGUAAGCGGCCAAGCGAAAGCAUUAAGUAUUCCACCUGGGGAGUACGCCGGCAACGGUGAAACUCAAAGGAAUUGACGGGGGCCCGCACAAGCGGAGGAACAUGUGGUUUAAUUCGAUGAUACGCGAGGAACCUUACCCGGGCUUGAAUUGCAGAGGAAGGAUUUGGAGACAAUGACGCCCUUCGGGGCCUCUGUGAAGGUGCUGCAUGGUUGUCGUCAGCUCGUGCCGUGAGGUGUCGGCUUAAGUGCCAUAACGAGCGCAACCCUUAUCUUUAGUUACUAACAGGUUAUGCUGAGGACUCUAGAGAGACUGCCGUCGUAAGAUGUGAGGAAGGUGGGGAUGACGUCAAAUCAGCACGGCCCUUACGUCCGGGGCUACACACGUGUUACAAUGGGGGGUACAGAAGGCAGCUACCUGGCGACAGGAUGCUAAUCCCAAAAACCUCUCUCAGUUCGGAUCGAAGUCUGCAACCCGACUUCGUGAAGCUGGAUUCGCUAGUAAUCGCGCAUCAGCCAUGGCGCGGUGAAUACGUUCCCGGGCCUUGUACACACCGCCCGUCAAGCCAUGAAAGCCGGGGGUACCUGAAGUACGUAACCGCAAGGAGCGUCCUAGGGUAAAACUGGUAAUUGGGGCU
rnacentral:rRNA from 1 species